UUGUUUAAUACAUCUGAAAAGAAUGCAUAUACAAAGAAUUGAGACACGAGAAAGCAUUGGUUCAACACUAAUGAAACUACAAAAAUUAGGAUUUGGGGAGGGUGGAGAAUAUUACCUAAACAUGUUUAACAAUGUUGGAAACUGCAACCAAAAUAAGCUGAUAAAAUCCCUAUUAACACUUAUGAAGAGUCUUCAUAAGACUCUCUCCAUGGUUUUGAUUAAACUAGAGCCUCAACUGGCUGCUCUAGGGUUCCUCAUGCAAAACAGAAAGAAGGGGACUCCCCUGACUGGUCCCCAUGCUGUUAAAUGUUCUCCCCACCCCCACCCCACCCCUAGCUUCUUAAUGAAGCGGGUCUCCAUCCUCAUAACUUGAAGAGGAUGUGAAUCAUUCCACAGACAUCUGUCUUCUAGCACCCCUCAUAUAUACCAGGUCUUCGGCUGUGUUCUAGGAACACCAUACCAUACACUAUUAAGCUGCACAUCUAUGCUAAGCAUAUAAAACAAGGACUGACAAGGAAAAAAAUUUUUUAAUUAUGUACUUAAUCCAUUUGGUAUAUUUCAAAAGGUGCAAUAUUUUCUUCAUUUAUCAGUGAAAGAAGUUAGACAUUAACUUCAAAAAUAAAAUCAGCAAACGGCUAACAAAUUUCCUUGAAAGUCAGUCACGUAUAUAGUGCAUCCUAGAAAAGAGGAGGGGCAAGACAGGUUCCACCCACUUUCAUGAGUUUCAUCAAAUACUGAACCUACUCAAGGGUGGAGAGAAAAA